UACGAAGGGGGCUAGCGUUGUUCGGAUUUACUGGGCGUAAAGCGCACGUAGGCGGAUUGUUAAGUCGGGGGUGAAAUCCUGGAGCUCAACUUCAGAAUUGCCUUCGAUACUGGCUGUCUGGAGGUCGAGAGAGGUGAGUGGAAUUCCUGGUGUAGCGGUGAAAUGCGCAGAUAUCAGGAGGAACACCCAUUGCGAAGGCAGCUCGCUGGGACGUUACUGACGCUGAGACGCGAAAGCGUGGGGAGCAAACAGG
rnacentral:rRNA from 1 species